rnacentral:rRNA from 1 species
CCUACGGGAGGCAGCAGUGGGGAAUAUUGGGCAAUGGGGGAAACCCUGAUGCAGCGACGCCGCGUGAGUGAAGAAGUAUCUCGGUACGUAAAGCUCUAUCAGCAGGGAAGAAAAUGACGGUACCUGACUCAGAAGCCCCGGCUAACUACGUGCCAGCAGCCGCGGUCAUACGUAGGGGGCAAGCGUUAUCCGGAUUUACUGGGUGGGAAGGGAGCGUUGACGGGAGCACAAGUCUGGAGUGAAAUCCCAGGGCUUAACCCCGGAACUGCUUUGGAAACUGUGCGGCUGGAGUGCAGGCGGGGUAAGCGGAAUGCCUAGUGUAGCGGUGAAAUGCGUAGAUAUUAGGAAGAACACCGGUGGCGAAGGCGGCUUACUGGACUGUAACUGACGUUGAGGCUCGAAAGCGUGGGGAGCAAACAGGAUUAGAUACCCGGGUAGUC